rnacentral:rRNA from 1 species
UACAGAGGUCCCAAGCGUUGUUCGGAUUCACUGGGCGUAAAGGGUGCGUAGGCGGUUGGGUAAGUCUGUCGUGAAAUCUCCGAGCCUAACUCGGAAACUGCGUCGGAUACUAUUCAACUCGAGGAAUGGAGGGGAGACUGGAAUUCUCGGUGUAGCAGUGAAAUGCGUAGAUAUCUGGAGGAACACCGGUGGCGAAGGCGGCAUCCUGGACCGAUACUGACGCUGAGGAGCGAAAGCCAGGGGAGCAAACGGG